UACGUAGGGGGCUAGCGUUGUCCGGAUUUAUUGGGCGUAAAGAGCGUGUAGGCGGCCAGGUAGGUCUGCUGUGAAAACUCGAGGCUCAACCUCGAGACGUCGGUUGAAACCGUCUGGCUAGAGUCCGGAAGAGGAGAGUGGAAUUCCCGGUGUAGCGGUGAAAUGCGCAGAUAUCGGGAAGAACACCCGUGGCGAAGGCGGCUCUCUGGGACGGUACUGACGCUGAGACGCGAAAGCGUGGGGAGCGAACAGG
rnacentral:rRNA from 1 species